AGUGAACGCUGGCGGUAGGCCUAACACAUGCAAGUCGAACGGCAGCACAGUAAGAGCUUGCUCUUACGGGUGGCGAGUGGCGGACGGGUGAGGAAUACAUCGGAAUCUACUUUUUCGUGGGGGAUAACGUAGGGAAACUUACGCUAAUACCGCAUACGACCUACGGGUGAAAGCAGGGGAUCUUCGGACCUUGCGCGAUUGAAUGAGCCGAUGUCGGAUUAGCUAGUUGGCGGGGUAAAGGCCCACCAAGGCGACGAUCCGUAGCUGGUCUGAGAGGAUGAUCGGCCACACUGGAACUGAGACACGGUCCAGACUCCUACGGGAGGCAGCAGUGGGGAAUAUUGGACAAUGGGCGCAAGCCUGAUCCAGCCAUCCCGCGUGUGUGAAGAAGGCCUUCGGGUUGUAAAGCCCUUUUGUUGGGAAAGAAAAGCAGCAGGUUAAUACCCCGCUGUUCUGACGGUACCGAAAAAAUAAGCACCGGCUAACUUCGUG
rnacentral:rRNA from 1 species